CCUCGAGGACGACCUCGAGGACGACCUCGAGGACGACCUC
rfam:Ixodes scapularis strain Wikel colony gcontig_1108379664660, whole genome shotgun sequence.